rnacentral:rRNA from 1 species
AAACAGGAUUAGAUACCCUGGUAGUCCACGCCCUAAACGAUGUCAACUAGUUGUUGGGGAUUCAUUUCCUUAGUAACGUAGCUAACGCGUGAAGUUGACCGCCUGGGGAGUACGGUCGCAAGAUUAAAACUCAAAGGAAUUGACGGGGACCCGCACAAGCGGUGGAUGAUGUGGAUUAAUUCGAUGCAACGCGAAAAACCUUACCUACCCUUGACAUGGUCGGAAUCCCGCUGAGAGGUGGGAGUGCUCGAAAGAGAACCGGCGCACAGGUGCUGCAUGGCUGUCGUCAGCUCGUGUCGUGAGAUGUUGGGUUAAGUCCCGCAACGAGCGCAACCCUUGUCCUUAGUUGCUACGCAAGAGCACUCUAAGGAGACUGCCGGUGACAAACCGGAGGAAGGUGGGGAUGACGUCAAGUCCUCAUGGCCCUUAUGGGUAGGGCUUCACACGUCAUACAAUGGUCGGAACAGAGGGUUGCCAACCCGCGAGGGGGAGCUAAUCCCAGAAAACCGAUCGUAGUCCGGAUUGCACUCUGCAACUCGAGUGCAUGAAG